GUUUAAUGGCAAAGGCUCUGGAAAAUUCUUUUGCAACAGUUCAUCACCGUUGAUAUAAUCCUAAUUAAAAUUAUCGGACUCCAGUUUUGGUGGAGAUGUAAAUUUGCUAGUGUCUUUGAAGGGCAAUUUAGUCAUAUUCAUGAAAAUUAAAAUUGCAUUUGGCCUUUGACAUAGAAAUUUUACUUCUGGAAAUUUACAGAGAAAGUUGCACGUGUGCACGUACAUACAAGGAUAUUACCACACUACUCUAGUGUUGUUUGUAAUAACAAAAGAUUGAAAAAAUAUUAAUGUCCUCCAGUAAGAAACUGAUUAAAAUUCAGUAUGAGACAUCCAUUGUAACCAAAGCUAGGCGGCCUUGAAAAAGUGUCACUCAGCGACAGGGCUCGGCCCACCCUCAUGCAAACCCACCCCGCGGUAUGAGGCCAGGAGGGUGCGGUCACGAGGGGCCCAGGAAGUGUGUCCAAUGAUUGAAGCAGCCCCCCCACCCUGGCGGUCCUGAGUCUGGGUCGCGCCCUGGUGUAUCUCUUUUGACGUCUACUACCCACAGCCUGGAGGAGGAAAGUGGCGGCGAGGAGCAACUGCACGCGACUCGGGACCUUGCCCUUCUCCGCGGCCAGCGUCACAAUGGCAACCGCGGGCAGCCGGGCACUGAGGGCUGGAAAAUGAGGACCCGAGCCAGGUUACAGCCUUGGACUUCGAGCAGCCCAGGGAGAGUCUCUGCGUCCUCCAGCCCCCGCUUCCCUUCAUGUCGGAGAUGCUAAGCCCGCAGCUAAGUCUGCAAAGAGCUUUCCCCGACGCCCACAAGACCGGAAGUGCCUGGGCCCAGGUGGAGGAAGGACCCGCGUGGCCUCCUCUGCGCCCUCCCUGGCGUCCGCGCCCGUUCCGGCGCUUCUCCCGCGUCCUUCACCAUGGCAACUUCUGGCGUUGGGAGCGUGGGCCGCGAGCCAGAAAAUGCCAUCCUGUCUUAACCUGCUGAAGAGAAAGAAGAAAGGGGACUGUGGGUGUAUUCAGGCUAAAGUAAUAAUCAGGGAGACAGGAGCAUUCUGGGGCCAGGCAAGGGCACGUCCUGUGUCUUUAGCUUUGGAUUCUGUUUCUACCACUAAUGAGAACAAAAUAGAGAAGGAGGAGCCAGGCAUACAGCCGAGUUCGAUCUCACACACCAAGAAGAGGAAACCAAGGCCUGGAGAGAUAAGGCCACCCAGCCUUAUCAGAUCCUUUUACCAAGGAAGUGCGAACCAUUUUGCCUGGCACAGUACUUGACCCUGGGGGCACAAUGAAGAUCAGGUUCAGGAUCAAGGUGGUCUCUGCCCUGUGGUGCUUUUACGGAGGAGAGUCAGGUAAGCAGGCAAUUAUCAUGCCUUCUGUGGUUAUAAUAGAAGCUCAGA
rnacentral:lncRNA from 1 species